GAUGUCUUGACGGUUUAUUGUGGUGUCCGAAAAAAAAACAAGCGAGUUGACUUCGUUUCCUACUUCCGGAUUUUAUUCAGAUUGCUGUUGUCAUGCUGUCGGGUUUUGUAGAUUGUUUUGUUUUGUCCUGCCCCUCGCGUUAUCACUUCCUGUUUUAUUUUGUACAGAUCACGGGUCCUUCCUCUGCACGGCCGUCCACUUGACCUCCCUGCUUUGCCCGUGAGACUUUGCCUUUAUUUUUCCCUCAGUUUGAGGCGCUUUUUGUUUGCUGUUCUCAGCCCUUUUUUCCCUCGUGUUGAGGAGCUUUUGUUUAUGCCCUUUUUCCCUCAUGUUGAGGCGCUUUUGUUUUUGCGCUUUUUCCCUCAUCGUGAGGAGUCUUUUGUUCUUGGAGCUGUUGGCAACGAAGGAAAUAAACUCCUUGAUUUUUUUUAAACUCUGCAUUCGAGUCCUCUCCCUGCCCUGAGCCUGACAGCUGUGAUUAUUUACGGCAAUGGGUCCCAUUUUAUUAGUCUUUGGUAUGACCUGGCUGGGUUUUGAACUCAUAACCUUCCAGUUUCAGGGUGGACACUACCACUAGGCCACAGAGCUGGAGCUUUUGUGUUGUGUUUAGUUUCUAUAAACUUUUAGCUUUUUUUUUUUUAAACUAUUUUAGCAGAUGCACUGAUUGUUUGGCAUUUUUAAUUUUGUUGUACAUGUGACAAUAAAGAUCUAUUUAUCCAUCUGUGUAACUAAUAAAGUUGUGACGCUAUGCCCAAACGGCUUUUUUUUUUUACUCCACCACGCAUUAAAGCGGGUGGAGAAGCCAAGCUGCCUUCGUUACAGCAAACCUGAAGACAGAGGUAAGUGUUUUCUCAGGUAUCUCCCCUCCAACUUCAAAUUUGUGAUGUGCCUAGUUUGUUUAUUUAUUUUAUACAAAUACAAGCAACAUUCCAAGUUGCUUUGGCCGCUUUCGGUCAUCCGUUUUGCAAUUUGUCCGAGUGAAGGUAAAGUGCUUCGCCUUAUCGCUAAAUGCUGCAGUGGGACAUGCGUUCGCCAGAUUGACAAGAACUUUGCACAUUUUUUGAAAUUUUCUUCACAGGCUUGGAAUGAAAUGGAAAUGUGUAUACAAAUAAAAGAUCCGAAAAAUUCGUAAUUUUUAUUGUUUGGCACUUUCUCUUUCAGCAUGAACAGAAAAGUAAUCAAAAUGUGGUGGACGCGGCGCGACAUUCGACCUGUGAAAUGGAUGGGCAUUAUGAAAACGUAACUGUUGCCCUCUGUGAUGGUAAGACCCCUUUUAAGAUGACUCUUUUCAGUCAUCUGGCUAGCAGAGUCACAGAGGUCAACAGUUACGUUUUCGCCCAUUUCAUGGCGGAGGCAAUAAAUCCCAACAUGCUGCUAUGUCAAAAGAGCAGCAGAAUAUACGUGGGGCGAAGGUGCAGUGCAGCGAUGCCUUGAGGGCUGAGGCACUCCACCUCAUUUUCCCCCCGUCGUUGCCAAUGCCCCUCAGCGAGGUUAUCAGAAACCCUCCUGAGGGGCUGGUAAACGUUCAGGGACAGGUUGAAAGUGUAAGUUUAAUUUACACGCACGUGCAUGUUAAAUAUCUAUUUAGAACUACUAAAAAUACAAAAAAUUGUUUUCUUGCAUUAAACAUUGCAGGAUAACGCAAUGGUAUGUCUUUGUUCCAAAUUAGAAACAGCCAAGCAGAAUAGUGUCUGUGCGCGGGGCUCGGUUGGUGCCAGUGAGCAUCGUGUUCCUAAAACAAAACGAAGCGGUCGUAAGAGUGGCCGUGUGGAGGGAGGCGACCUUGACCCCGAUCAAGGUUGGGGCCUUCUACACAUUCUCGCUCCUUAGUGCCGUGACAAAUGAUUUCGGCCUGUCCCUCAAUACGACCCAGUAUUCAAAGAUAUCGGGCUACAAUACAACUGUAAGCUUGGUGGCUAUUGGGCUAAUGAUGGAGGAGGAGGAGGAGGUCAAGUUGGUGGAUGGGGAGGGGGUCGAAACCACAAUUGCCUUGAGUGUAUGGACCAAGACUUUCGUUGAGCCACCAAAAUUACCAGAAGAUGGACUCCAAUUGAAACUCAUUUAUUCGGAGGGUGAAGUGGUGGAAAUUUGCAAAUAAAUUUUAUUUUGCCAAUGCUGUUCAUUUGCCUACAUUGUUUUCGGUCACAGUUAGGGGUUGGAUGGGGUGCAGGUGGGCUUUUCAUUGGGAAGAGUUUAAAUUUUCUGAUCAUUCACCCCAUUCAAACUUUCACACGUUCCAAAAAUUCAUGUCACGCUUGCUACCAUUAAAUGUCAUUUAGCGUUUUUUGUGUAAUUAGCAAAUUUGUCGCUUAAAAUCCCCCAUUCAUUCUUAAUGGCAAUGUCAACCCGAGCCAGUUUCCUGUAGUGGGUUCGAUUCCCACAUUGGGUGUCAUAAAUGAUUUUACUCUUUAUUCUUCCCGCUUAUCAUUUUCAACGCUUAUCAUUUGUAGCUUUUGUCAUUCACAUUCAACAUUCAUUACAUUAAGCAAUUUCCACCAAUUUGCUUACGCAUUCAACAAACACAUUCAUUACAUUAACCAAGUUCAACCACCUUGAAGGAAGGAACCUGAUUAGCUCAGUCGGUCGGGAGCACAAGCGUUUCAGCACACGAGCCGUGUAUCAAAACCCGCGUGGGUUCUUCAUGACACAAAUUCAUGUCAUUUAUUUCUGCCGCGUAUCAUUUGUAACAUUUUCCCAUUUUUCACAAUAAUUUAUUUCCCUUUUUAUUCUUUCCGCUUAGCAUUUGUGACUUUUUUGUAACAUUUGUAACAUUUUCACAUUUCACAAUAAUGUAUUUCCCUUUUUAUUCUUCCCGCUUAUCAUUUGUAACUUUUUUGAAACAUUUCAUUUUUAACGCUUAGCAUUUGUAACUUUUUUGUAACAUGUAUUUGUAACAUUUUCCCAUGCCUGCCAGCCUGUGUGCGUGCACGUACAAGACCCACAAUGCCCCGCGCGCAGCCAAGCUGGAAGAACCAGCCGCGGUUCUCCCCUGCCGCGGGAACGCGCAUGCCUUAUUUGGAAAGCGAAAAACCAAUCUCGUACGGCGUCAGCACUGUUGUUUUCAAUAAAAACAUGAACUCACGUUUGCUUCAGUCAAUUUCAAUUUUUAUAAAGGAUUAUUCUCAUUUGAUGUCUUUAAAUUCAUCCGCGUUCUGCCAUUGAAGAGGGGUGCAUUAAAAGACCAGUCGUACAGACGGAACACUCAUUCACUUCACCAAAACGCAGCAAUAUAAUUACGUGAGCUCUUUGCAUAAACCUCGAUGCAAAGAAACUCCUUUUUGGGUACAGGCUACAAGGAGUAUAUAGUACAAAGGAGACUUUAUACUUGAUUGUACGUCUGUUUGUUUCAACUUAGAAACAGCCAAGCAGAAUGGUGUCGGUACGGGGGGAUCGGUUGGUGCCAUUGAGCAUCGUAGACAUAAAACAAACUAUUGCAGAACGAAGCCGUCGUAAGAGUGGCCGUGUGGAGGGAGGCGAACUUGACCCCCAUCAAAGUUGGGGCAUUCUACGCCUUCACUCACCUUAAUGCCGUGACCAAUGAAUUCGCCCUGUCUCAACAUGACCCAAUAUUCAAAGAUAUCGGUGAGUAAAGAAAAGGCUGUAAAACGGAAAAGGAAUGUCAUCAGUUUAGGUUGUUUUGAAUGAACGAGUAUAAUACUACAAAUGCCGGCUUUCCAUACAAUCUCGUUCAAAUUUUACACCUUUAUGUGAAAGGCUGUUGAA